AUUGAACGCUGGCGGUAGGCCUAACACAUGCAAGUCGAACGGCAGCACAGUAAGAGCUUGCUCUUACGGGUGGCGAGUGGCGGACGGGUGAGGAAUACAUCGGAAUCUCCUUUUUCGUGGGGGAUAACGUAGGGAAACUUACGCUAAUACCGCAUACGACCUACGGGUGAAAGCAGGGGAUCUUCGGACCUUGCGCGAUUAAAUGAGCCGAUGUCGGAUUAGCUAGUUGGCGGGGUAAAGGCCCACCAAGGCGACGAUCCGUAGCUGGUCUGAGAGGAUGAUCAGCCACACUGGAACUGAGACACGGUCCAGACUCCUACGGGAGGCAGCAGUGGGGAAUAUUGGACAAUGGGCGCAAGCCUGAUCCAGCCAUACCGCGUGUGUGAAGAAGGCCUUCGGGUUGUAAAGCCCUUUUGUUGGGGAAGAAAAGAAUAAGGUUAAUACCUCGCUGUUCUGACGUUACCCAAAGAAUAAGCACCGGCUAACUUCGUG
rnacentral:rRNA from 1 species